CUCUCGUCACUGCAGCCAUGGCAGAAGCUCAGGAGGGAAGUGGAGGGGCUGGCAGCCUGGAGGCCGAGCUCACCUGCCCCAUCUGCCUGGGUAUGUACCGGGAGCCGGUGUCGCUGGCCUGUGGUCACAACUUCUGCCAGCAGUGCAUCAAGAAGGUGCUGGGAACACAGCACAAUUCCCAGCGCCUCUCAACCUGCCCCACAUGCAGGGCCCGCCUGGGGCCCGGCAUGAAGCUGCAGAACAACUUCAAUCUGGCCAACAUCGUGGAGGCCUUUCGGGCUUCCAAAGGACAACAGGCUGGAAGGGAAAGCCUCCAACAAGGCAAAGACCCCACGAAGGGGAAGGCGAGCGUGGUUCCCUGUGACCACUGCCUGGAUGGGUCCCAGCCGGCCGUGCAGACCUGCCUGGUUUGUGAGGCGUCCCUGUGCCAGGCCCACCUGAGCAAACACAACGCCAAGGGUUUCCAUCAGGACCACGUCCUGGUGGAGGUGGGAGCGGACAAGGCGGAGGAGAGGAGGUGCCAGCAUCACGGCAAGCUGCUGGAAUGUUACUGCCUGAGAGAGGAGACGUUCAUCUGCGUGCUCUGCUCCGUCACCGGGGCCCACAAGGACCACGAGGUCAUCACCAUGAAGGAGGCACGCGACAAAGAGCUGGUUAAACUCUCCGACACCAUGACAGAGCUGCAGGAAUCGAAAAGUUAUUUAGUUACUGCCCUAGAAGAGCUUCAGAAAGACGAGAAUCAGAUCAAGACCAAUACCAAAACAAUGACUACUCAGCUAGAAGAGCUGUUUAAAAGUAUAAGGAUAGAGCUUAAUAAGAGAAAGAAUAUGAUCCUGAGAGACCUUCAGUGUAAUGAGGAAGCAGAACUGGCAGUCAUUGCUGGCACGAGGAAAGAAAUGGAACAGAAGAGAGACCAGGCUGAGCAGAAUCUUCAGGCUUUGCAGAAGAUAAAAACGCAACCAGAUAGUUUCCUCUUCUUCAAAGAUCUGAAACUGGUCACAGACAGGAUUGCGAGUCUGGAUCUGGGCACUGAGAGUUUGUACAGGCAGCUGAAUCCAAGAACAACGGCCCACUGUGAAUCCCAGAGAGAGAAUUUAAUGUGGCUGCUGGACUCUUUGCUGCAGGAAAUGCGUGAUAAAAUUUGGCUACUAAUUGAAAGGCAGCAGGUAAUUCCUUUCCUUUACUUGCAAAACGUUCCCUGCAAAUUUCUCCAGUUGUUCAUUUAAGAACUGUAUGUCCUGCACUUUCCUGCUUCAGUUUCAAGGAGACCUAAGCAGAGUCUCCAAGGCUGUCCCUCACCUUAAAAGAAGGGAGUCAGAUCUAUUCCCAUCUCUUGUUCUGCUAUUAACAGGAUGUGAUUUGUGUUUUACAGGCUCUAACAUUCAACACCGUUUCUUUACAGCAAGGCUUCUCUAUUAACUGAUACCUCUCCAGAAUGAAAGCAUCACUGAGGAGGAGCAACACACAGACUUUGUUUGAGAAUUUUGAUUCUCUUAGGCCCAGACAUAAGGGAGAUGUGAAAAAAAGAUGUCAGAACUGAGAUGGAAAGAAGAACUUAAAUAUUAUCCAAAAUUACCUCUAAUAAUGAGAACCUGCCAGGUGUUUUGAUCUCUCCUCCUACCUUGCAUUCAAAUCAAUUUUGUAACAUACGAAUUUUUCUUUAUAAGUGCUAAGAAUUAACAUGGACAUAAUAAAAUCUCCAACUGCUGCUGCAUUGAAAACUGUGGACUGUAUCAUCCCAUGGGUCUAAUUAUACUUUUGUACAAUGAUUUGUGGUGCCUUUGUCACUAUGUGGCUGAAUAACAAAUAAAUGGCUGUAGAUACAUGAAAGCAAGGCUGGAGGAUUUCAUACCAUCACCAGGAAUUAGUUGUUGAGAGCAUUUUUUGUGGGUAGACUCCCAAGAAAUCAAGGCUGAAGUUGUCUGUGCUUUUACAGGACUUGUGGCCUCAACUCUGUCCUUUCACUUGUGAUAAUCAACAUGUACCUGAUUUCAGGGAUUAAAAAUAAACACAGCAAUCAAUCUCA